rnacentral:rRNA from 1 species
UACGUAGGGGGCCAGCGUUGUCCGGAUUUAUUGGGCGUAAAGAGCGUGUAGGCGGCCAGGUAGGUCUGGUGUGAAUACUCGAGGCUCAACCUCGAGAUGUCAUCGGAAACCAUCUGGCUAGAGUCCGGAAGAGGAGAGUGGAAUUCCUGGUGUAGCGGUGAAAUGCGCAGAUAUCAGGAAGAACACCUAUGGCGAAGGCAGCUCUCUGGGACGGUACUGACGCUGAGACGCGAAAGCGUGGGGAGCGAACAGG